UACGGAGGGUGCGAGCGUUGUCCGGAAUUACUGGGCGUAAAGCGCACGCAGGCGGUUCGCCAAGUUUGGAGUGACAGUUGUCGGCUCAACCGACAAAGGACUUCAAAAACUGGUGAACUUGAGGACGAGAGAGGAACAUGGAACUCCAGGUGUAGUAGUGAAAUGCGUAGAUAUCUGGAAGAACACCAAUGGCGAAGGCAAUGUUCUGGCUCGUUUCUGACGCUCAGGUGCGAAAGCCAGGGGAGCGAACGGG
rnacentral:rRNA from 1 species